rnacentral:snRNA from 1 species
GGAUGUGAGAGUGAUCUGGCUGCACAUCUGUCACCCCAAUGACCAUUGUUCAGGGUAGAUUUGGCUGAUCUGGCUAACUAGGCAGUGUUCCCUUCCCCCCUUACCACUCCAGAGGACAACAUUCCCCGAAUACAGGAGAACCAGUCUUCAGUCAAAGGUACAUAGCUGUGCUCUCCUGCUAGAACUUCCAAACAAGCCCACAUGUGCAUAGGUGCGCCAAUAUGCCCACACACAUACUACACAAGGUA